UCAGGGUUCCCUGCCCUGUGGGAAGUCCGAGGACCGCCCACCUCCAUCCAGGUCUAGUAAGGUGAGCAUCCAAACUGCCUAGGCUCCCACAAAACCAAUAGGUGCAGUAGGAUCAAAAACCUAUUGCCACUGUUCUUGAGGUCUCAGUAGUCCUCAUUGUCUGCUAUGUUCAGCAAGACCAGUUUUUGAGACAGGGUUUCUCCGUAGCUUUUUGGUUCCUGUCCUGGAACUAGCUCUUCUAGACCAGCCUGGCCUCGAACUCACAGAUAUUUUUAAUUCUGGAAAAUUUUUAUAAACAUUGAUGAUGAAGGAACAAUAUAGCGGUGUAUGAGCUGAUACCAAGAAGAGAUAAAGGACAUAAACUCUUUGAUUGUGAGAGGUUCUUCAGAAAUAUUACAGAAAAACUGACUAGUGAAAUAACUUUUAUUUGUGGAAAACAAGUUGUCAUUUGGUAAAAAGUGUUUGCUUAAACUUGAACAAAUGUUUCAGUCUUCUCAUCUGACUAAACUAUUGCUUGUUUUAGUAGUUCAUAUAAGAAGAGUCUGCAGUUAAAAUAUUUCUUUGGCACUAAGGUGAAUCCACAGGAGGGCAGCAUCUUCUCAGAGACCCAGAGGCAAUUUCUCACAAGGUUCUUUGUGUCUGUGUGUUGUGGGUGUGGCUAGAGGGAAGAAGAGAGAUUCUGAGGUAGCUGUGAAAACUAGGACCUUCUUUCUAAUUGGAUGAACAGCUUGGGUUUUUUUUAAAAACAUCUCACAGCAGAAGAAUUUCAACUCCCUGAAUGCCAGUCCUUUUGUUACUGUUGAAGAGUGAAUCUUCAGUGAAAACAAUGAUGCAUCCCUUAAGUGUUUCACUAGUGGUACUCUGGCUUCAACUGAGGGGUGAAUUUGACCAUUGCUAUGGGAACAUAACAAUACAAUAUGGGAGGGCAUUGCCCUCCCAUAUUUUAGAUGGAAGGUUAGAAAUAUUGUUCUCAUAUUGAAACAAAAGCAGGUGGGAGGCCCAUGGAAAAGGCAUUCUGGGGUAUUAGCAUCCAGUCCUAUUUGUCUGACCUUUGUCUCUCUACCUAGGAGUGAACAGCCAGCAGAAAGUGCAACAGAACCCAGAAUCCCUCAGUGUCUCAGAGGGAGCCAUGACCUCUCUCAACUGUACUUUCAGUGACCGUAAUUUUCAGUACUUCUGGUGGUACAGACAGCAUCCCAAGAAAGGCCCCAUGUUGCUGGUGUCCAUCUCCUCUAAUGGUGAAAAGAAAGAAGGCAGAUUCACAGUUCAGCUCAACAAAGACAGCCUGCAUAUUUCCUUGCACAUCAGAGACUCCCAGUCCAGUGACUCAGCUGUCUACCUCUGUGCAGGAAACACACAGUACUCCCCAGGCACCUGCAACCUGCACCCAAACUUAGUGGGACGUGUCAAGACCUUAGUUAAAGAACAGAUCACAGGGUGCAGAAUUCUCUUUUAAUCCUAUAAGCCAUGGUAAUUAAGAGCAAGAGUAGAGAAGACUUGAUUGAUUGGGAAAGUGUGGAAGAGCUCUCACUGGGUUACACCUGAUCUGGCUCCAGAGUGCCCUAAUCCAUCUCUUUUUCUUGGCUACCUUUUCUUUUUUUGGUUGCCCUCUAUGUGAAUCUUGUCUGAGCCCUUCCCAAGGUUACAAAGCAUAUGCAAAACUAGUUUGGGAAAAAUCUGACAAAUUGUAUUAUUCCUAAAUCUUUUAUUUGUAUUAGGCAUUGUUUCUUUGGAGGUCCAGUCAGGUCCAGUUUUGAGGAUAUGGAAAUCAACUUGCUUAGGAGUAAUUAUGGAGAACAAGAAAAAUUCCCUUGGCUUAGGGAAGGUGUCUCAGUCCCUAGAGUUGCUGAUUCUUCCUGAAUCUGAAAGACUAGCAACAUCUUAAAGGGCUUCAAUUAAAGGUGUGUGCCACUGGGAUUAAAGGCAUAUACCAUCCAAUUUCUAUGGCAACUAGGGUGGCUACUAGGAUUAAAGAACCUUCAUCUGGUGAUGGAUGGAGAUAGAGACAGAGACCCACACUGGAGCACUGGACUGAGCUCCCAAGGUCCCAAUGAGAAGCAGAUGGAGGGAGAACACGAGCAAGGAUGUCAGGACCACGGGGGGUGCACCCACCCACUGAGACAGUGGGGCUGAUCUA